rnacentral:rRNA from 1 species
CACGUAGGGUGCGAGCGUUGUCCGGAAUUAUUGGGCGUAAAGAGCUCGUAGGCGGUGUGUCGCGUCGGCCGUGAAAACCUGCAGCUUAACUGUGGGCUUGCGGUCGAUACGGGCAUCACUGGAGUUCGGCAGGGGAGACUGGAAUUCCUGGUGUAGCGGUGAAAUGCGCAGAUAUCAGGGAGGAACACCGGGUGGCGAAGGCGGGUCUCUGGGCGAA